GGCGAACGGGUGAGUAACACGUGGGCAAUCUGCCCUGCACUCUGGGACAAGCCCUGGAAACGGGGUCUAAUACCGGAUACUGAGCUACUUGGGCAUCCAAGUGGUUCGAAAGCUCCGGCGGUGCAGGAUGAGCCCGCGGCCUAUCAGCUUGUUGGUGAGGUAAUGGCUCACCAAGGCGACGACGGGUAGCCGGCCUGAGAGGGCGACCGGCCACACUGGGACUGAGACACGGCCCAGACUCCUACGGGAGGCAGCAGUGGGGAAUAUUGCACAAUGGGCGAAAGCCUGAUGCAGCGACGCCGCGUGAGGGAUGACGGCCUUCGGGUUGUAAACCUCUUUCAGCAGGGAAGAAGCGAAAGUGACGGUACCUGCAGAAGAAGCGCCGGCUAACUACGUGCCAGCAGCCGCGGUAAUACGUAGGGCGCAAGCGUUGUCCGGAAUUAUUGGGCGUAAAGAGCUCGUAGGCGGCUUGUCACGUCGGUUGUGAAAGCCCGGGGCUUAACCCCGGGUCUGCAGUCGAUACGG
rnacentral:rRNA from 1 species